UACGUAGGGGGGCAAGCGUUGUCCGGAUUUAUUGGGCGUAAAGAGCGUGUAGGCGGCCUUACAGGUCAGCUGUGAAAAACUCGAGGCUCAACCUCGAGACGUCGGUUGAAACCGUAAGGCUAGAGUCCGGAAGAGGAGAGUGGAAUUCCCGGUGUAGCGGUGAAAUGUGUAGAGAUCGGGAGGAACACCGGUGGCGAAGGCGGCCUUCUGGACGGUGACUGACGCUGAGGCGCGAAAGCGUGGGGAGCAAACGGG
rnacentral:rRNA from 1 species